GUGGCUUAUUCGACGCAACGCGAAGAACCUUACCAAGGCUUGACAUAUACCGGAAAGCAUCAGAGAUGGUGCCCCCCUUGUGGUCGGUAUACAGGUGGUGCAUGGCUGUCGUCAGCUCGUGUCGUGAGUUGUUGGGUUAAGUCCCGCAACGAGCGCAACCCUUGUUCUGUGUUGCCAGCAUGCCCUUCGGAGUGAUGGGGACUCACAGGAGACUGCCGGGGUCAACUC
rnacentral:rRNA from 1 species